rnacentral:rRNA from 1 species
UACGUAGGGUGCGAGCGUUAAUCGGAAUUACUGGGCGUAAAGCGUGCGCAGGCGGUUUUGUAAGUCAGAUGUGAAAGCCCCGGGCUUAACCUGGGAAUGGCAUUUGGGACUGCAAGGCUGGAGUGUGGCAGAGGAGACUGGAAUUCCUGGUGUAGCAGUGAAAUGCGUAGAUAUCAGGAGGAAUACCGAUGGCGAAGGCAGGUCUCUGGGCUAACACUGACGCUCAUGCACGAAAGCGUGGGGAGCAAACAGG